rnacentral:rRNA from 2 species
GAAUCUCAAAAAGCCGGUCUCAGUUCGGAUUGGGGUCUGCAACUCGACCCCAUGAAGUCGGAGUUGCUAGUAAUCGCAGAUCAGCAUUGCUGCGGUGAAUACGUUCCCGGGCCUUGUACACACCGCCCGUCACGUCACGAAAGUCGGUAACACCCGAAGCCGGUGGCCCAACCCCUUGUGGGAGGGAGCUGUCGAAGGUGGGACUGGCGAUUGGGACGAAGUCGUAACAAGGUAGCCGUACCGGAAGGUGCGGCUGGAUCACCUCCUUUCUAAGGAG